AAGUUCUUUAUAGUGUAUAACAGCUGUCGCUACAGGUCACCAUGACCAACGGUGUUACAAAUGAAUGCACAUUGAGCAGAUAUGCUUGUUCAAGAGUCCGCUUCCCAUUGCACAUGACCUAUAUCUGUGGAGUCGGUGAUACUGUUACACGGGGAGAAGCUAUGGGACGUCACAAGGCAGGUUCGAAUUGUUUGAAUACCUACGAAAUACGAGAAAGGGAAUGCUGCUGACGUGUCAAUGUCUCAUCAUAUCCGCUGCCACUGAAGUCUCAACCUGCACGUCUUUGAGCAUUACGUAGCACCGAACGUCAGCCAUCAUUCCAGAUAAUAAAUAAUAAUUAAUCUUUUUCUAUGAGGAAGAUUCGGUCAAAUAUUCAACACUUCACAAUGACGCAUUCUACCAGUAAACGCUCUGUUUACAUGGAUUACUUCCCACACUAUUCGGAAAGACUUUUAGUUUCUGGAGUUACUGAAGUAUACGGAUCAUAAUGCAUUCAAUGAUACCAGGAUAAUAUGACGGCACUUCCCUUCCUUACGUUUUGUGCUGCCAUGUGUUUUUCCUUUAAUGUGAACUUUCUUGGAAACAUUUAUUAGGCAUGACAGAUAUGCAUGGUGGACAUUUUGUAAGACGUGAUGUCUGUGCUAUUUCGUCACAUACGUAGAAGUGAGUGAGUGAAUUUUGUUUUACGCCGCGCCGCUUCGGCGUGACGGGCGAACGCUUUAACCACUAGGCUACGCCACCGCCUACAUGACAUACAAAAUAGACCGCCUUUAACAAACAAAAUAGUUACCAUGUUG